GCAAUAAUUGACUUGAAAGUUAGGCUCUUAUACACAGGCUGUUAUGGGAUAACCUUAAAAAUGAUCAAAACACUUAGAGUGCGAUUACUCAAAAAUGGUAAGAGGAAAAUAAAAAAAAUUGCCCGCAAGCCGUGAGCUAUCGAACCUCCUUAAGAAGAAUGCUUUUGAAUCUCGUCGAAUGAUUGUUUAUCCUUCUAGCAAACUUACUACCUAAACUCGAUAAGUAAUGUAUUCAAAUGUCAACGGAUUUUUGCCAACUCAAUUUUCGUAUGUAACAAUCGUUCCAACUACAAUUUUUAUUUUGCAGUGCAUCUGUUUCGCUUGUAUGUAUAUAAAUACGUAUUUUAAUAUCGAAUCCGAGAAAGCAACGUUGCAAAGUGUAUCACGUGACUCUAGAUACCUAUAGUAAAUUCGUAAGCAACCGACUCGACAUUUUCACCGACUUUGUCGAAGCCAACUAUAUACUAUAUAUCUUAGGUGUAGAUACAAAUAUACAAUUCACUCAGUUUUGACGCAUACCAUAAGCCCGGGGCCAUUUUCACCGAAAUCCAGGUAUAGUCGUGCACUGUGCAAAGCUGCAGACAUUCGAAAAUCCGUUAAUGAAUUUUCGAGGACGACGGUGGCUCAGGCUUUGAACUUGAAAUCGUAUACCUAUAUAGGUACGGACUGGCCGUAAAUUCCCUUCCUCGAGUGCCGACCCGCUCAGCAGAAGAAAACUCGAAUUUGAUUGGUCGUGUGAAGCGUCUCUUCGAGCUCUCGGCCAAUCCCAUGUCUUGACAAAAUUGGCGCGCUCGACUGUGUGGACGCAGGAGGGGCGGUGACUUCUUGGAGGGGAUUAUUCCCGCGCGCGCUGCUGCGCUUCAGCGUCAGUCGUCACUGCAUGCGGUGCGCACUGCGCAGGCCAGUACGCUUGCUUUGUUCACUUCGUCGACAACGCACACAAUGUACAGACGUCUCGCCAGGCCUGGAGACACUUUCCCAGUGUUGAUGCAGCUCGAACCUUCUUGAAUCCUGGCUUGUCUUUGUCAACGAGACGACCCGGCUCCUGACUGCGAGGAGGCAGCCACUUAUUUUACUUCAGAUGACGGAAGCCAAAAAGUUCUUACAGCUCGGACUGGGCUGCAUGCGUACGGCCGAGAGCGCAUGCGACCGGACCACGCGGCUGCAGAGAUUUCCCACGCUUCUUUGUUUGUGUGAGGCCGAGAAAUUUCUUUCGAAAAGUCAACGGUAGCAGUGAGCCAUGCCGAGGAAUUUCUAGUCAACAAAGAUUAUGAAAGCGUAUAAUGGAACUUUGAAACUGGAUAUUUCAUGCAGCUUAUAUUGAACUACGGCAACUUCACAACUACCAUCGAUCGUCAUCCAGAAGAACUUAUUAAAAUAGAUUAAAAGUGGUGCAGCUGAUUUAAUAUUGAAAUUGAACUAAGCAUCAUUUAAAACGUUUUCAAAUGGGCUAAAUAAUUGAUUGUGAGUUUUGGUAUGCUAUUCCUUUCGACUUUUGAUUUGGACAAGCAUUGCGAUUAGUGCUAAUUUUUUGUAAUCGAAACAAGCACACAAAUAUUUAUUAGAACUCUUUUAACCUAACAACUGACUUAACUUAAGGAGCUGUUUUUAAAUUAAGAUAUAACUCAGAUUUCAAAUGAAUCUCUAUUUAAUCAAUAUUCAUAAAAUCCUAGCUCACAAAAGGUUCCAAAAGAACCUCUACUUAAUUAUUACUUGUACAACCAUUUAAAAGUUAAACCCUAGCUCACAUUAGGUUCCAAAAGAACCUCUAUGUAAUUGAUAUUUUUAUAAUUGUUAAAAAGUUAAACCCUAGCUCACAAUAGGUUUCAAAAGAACCUCUACUUAAUUAUUAAUUUAUCGUCUUUUUAAAGUUAAAAUCUAGCUCAUAAUAGGUUCCAAAAGAACCUCUACGAAAUUAAUAUUUUUAAAAUUGUUAAAAAGUUAAACCCUAGCUCACAAUAGGUUCCAAAAGAACCUCUACUUAAUUAUUACUUGUACAACCGUUUCAAAGUUAAACUCUAGCUCACAAUAGGUUCCAAAAGAACCUCUACUCAAUUAUUAAUUUAUCGUCUUUUUAAAGUUAAAAUCUAGCUCAUAAUAGGUUCCAAAAGAACCUCUACGAAAUUGAUAUUUUUGUAAUUGUUAAAGAGUUAAACCCUAGCUCACAAUAGGUUCCAAACGAACCUCUACUUAAUUAUUAAUUUAUCGUCUUUUUAAAGUUAAAAUCUAGCUCAUAAUAGGUUCCAAAAGAAUCUCUAUGAAAUUGAUAUUUUUAAAACUGUUAAAAAGUUAAACCCUAACUCGUAAUAGGUUUCAAAAGAACCUCUACGUAAUUUAUGUUUUUGUGAUCGUUAAAAAGUUAAACCCUAGCUCACAAUAGAUUCCAUAAGAAUCUCUGCUAACUACUUCUAAAUGUUUUUAAUUAAAAUCUAGAUCAAACUUGAUUCUAUGUAAAUCGCUAUUACAUUAUUCAAUAUAUUUUUGCACAAGAUUUUAAUAUAAUGAAUUAUUACAUCUGAUUCUAUGAGAAUCUUUAAAAAAUAUGGUUUUGAAUGUAUUCAACUGUAAAACCUAGCUCACAAAAUUUUCUUUAUCUGCGCUUUAUUAAAGGGUUAAAAAUCGGAAAUGUGGAAUUAAUAUUUUAAUUGUUAAACUGAUGAUGCCAAAAAGCAUAUGUAAUUGUCAGUCUUCGUAUUUAUUUUUGAUGAUGGAAUUUCUUUGUUCAAAAGAUCACGUUUUUGUAUUAAUUUAAUAUAUUUGUAAUUUUUUGCAACAAACAAUUAAAUAAAAUUACGUUAUUUACAAAUCAA